AGAGUUUGAUCCUGGCUCAGGACGAACGCUGGCGGCGUGCCUAACACAUGCAAGUCGAACGGAGCUGAGAGGAGCUUGCUUUUCUUAGCUUAGUGGCGAACGGGUGAGUAACGCGUGAGUAACCUGCCCUGGAGUGGGGGACAACAGUUGGAAACGACUGCUAAUACCGCAUAAGCCCACGAUCCGGCAUCGGAUUGAGGGAAAAGGAUUUAUUCGCUUCAGGAUGGACUCGCGUCCAAUUAGCUAGUUGGUGAGGUAACGGCCCACCAAGGCGAUGAUUGGUAGCCGGACUGAGAGGUUGAACGGCCACAUUGGGACUGAGACACGGCCCAGACUCCUACGGGAGGCAGCAGUGGGGAAUAUUGCACAAUGGGGGAAACCCUGAUGCAGCGACGCCGCGUGGAGGAAGAAGGUUUUCGGAUUGUAAACUCCUGUCGUUAGGGACGAUAAUGACGGUACCUAACAAGAAAGCACCGGCUAACUACGUGCCAGCAGCCGCGGUAAAACGUAGGGUGCAAGCGUUGUCCGGAAUUACUGGGUGUAAAGGGAGCGCAGGCGGACCGGCAAGUUGGAAGUGAAAACUAUGGGCUCAACCCAUAAAUUGCUUUCAAAACUGCUGGCCUUGAGUAGUGCAGAGGUAGGUGGAAUUCCCGGUGUAGCGGUGGAAUGCGUAGAUAUCGGGAGGAACACCAGUGGCGAAGGCGGCCUACUGGGCACCAACUGACGCUGAGGCUCGAAAGUGUGGGUAGCAAACAGGAUUAGAUACCCUGGUAGUCCACACUGUAAACGAUGAUUACUAGGUGUUGGAGGAUUGACCCCUUCAGUGCCGCAGUUAACACAAUAAGUAAUCCACCUGGGGAGUACGACCGCAAGGUUGAAACUCAAAGGAAUUGACGGGGGCCCGCACAAGCAGUGGAGUAUGUGGUUUAAUUCGAAGCAACGCGAAGAACCUUACCAGGUCUUGACAUCCCGAUGACCGGUUCAGAGAUGAGCCUUUUCUUCGGAACAUCGGUGACAGGUGGUGCAUGGUUGUCGUCAGCUCGUGUCGUGAGAUGUUGGGUUAAGUCCCGCAACGAGCGCAACCCUUACGGUUAGUUGAUACGCAAGAUCACUCUAGCCGGACUGCCGUUGACAAAACGGAGGAAGGUGGGGACGACGUCAAAUCAUCAUGCCCCUUAUGACCUGGGCUACACACGUACUACAAU
rnacentral:rRNA from 1 species